UUAUUUCUUCAAAAAAAAAACCCUAAACUUUUCUUAAAACUCUUUUAACCUCCCUUGUGGGCUUCGUCGACGCCUAAUGUGCCUCCAUUUUUGCCAUGGCUUUAACCGGGGAUCCGUUUGCCUUUGGACCAGAGGAGCAAAACGUCGACUAGGUCGACACCGAACGAUCGGUUCGGCUAACUUGGAUGUGUACGGAGGCCGUACGAGGGCAAUCCAUGGGGUGUACAGAGGCUGCUUGGUGGCUACUGCAGCGCCUAGCAACAAGGGAAACCCUAAGGCUUCUGUUUCUGAAAAAUUUUGGGCCAUUGGGCUUGUUUUCGCUAUUGGGCCACUGUAAUUUGGUUUGUUUGGGGGUGUUGGGUGUAAUGGGGUUUUAGGUUUUAAUUUGGGCUGGUGAAGGCUGUAAAUGGAUUAUUUUGGAUUGUUUUAAUUUUGUGGUUUUUGUUAA